GAAUAGUGUUUAUGCGACUUUUUCAAACAAAUAAUCUACAUCUUGCCAAAUGAAAAUUGAAUAUUGCGGAUGAGUUGCAGCAUCAAACUUAUUAGACAUAGUUUAGCACUGGAAUAGAAAUUCUUACUGUAACAUAUCGUUUGGAAAAAUCUUUUUACUUAUAUACCAAGACUAAGAGUCUUAACCCUUUGCUAUUCCUCCAUCACAUGAGGAGUUGUCAACAAGCAGUUUUAGACCUGGACAGAGCUAUUCAUUGAAAGGAAUUACAGAGUCUCGACUCCAAUGGAUGAACCGGGGUUGGCAGGAUCAAUUCUACUCAUAUUUUCCUGCACGAUGAAGCGAUUAAAUCAUUAAUUGAAAGAGCACCAAUCAUGAUACCAGUGCUUUUUGUAGCUUAAGAUAACAGAAGACUGUUCCUUGUUACCAGAUUGCUUGCUAUGUUUAUCUAACCAUAUCCAUUCAUAAUCACUCAGUUAACCUUUAUUUUGUCAAUCUCUCAGACAGACAUGUCUCUCCCUAAUACUUGCAAAUAGGAACUAAAGAUAUGGCUCAAGAAACAUAAUGUGUACAGCAAUUACUAGGAGAUGGAGAUAAGCCAAAGCAAAGAUGAUCUUGAAAUAGAAAGUUCACAGCAUCAUAGACAACACGGACAGACUAAAAGCUCGGUUACUAAACCAUAUUCUGUACAAGGACAGGCCCAAUACCUAAGAUGGGGCAACACUUGAGCAUACAUUAUUUUUGUUAAACAAGACUUGAGAACAAGAGUUUCACAACUCAGCGCAGGCGACGCACUUCAGCUCUUACGAGCCUCUUCUUCAGCCUUCUGCUAAAGAAAAGAAAUGGCGGGUGAGAAGAAAGGUCGAGCAUGAUGUUUACAAGAAAUAGACUACCAAGUACAAGUUGAUUCAGUUACUAGUUUUGAAUCUAAGCAAACUCAUUACUCGACGCAUUGCAUGCAUAUACGUUAUGUUAUUUCUGAAUUAUGUCAUAUUUUAAAAUAAUACCAACUUGAUGUAUGUAUAUGUGUGUGCACAUAUUUUUUAUGAACUCAUUUCAUGAUAAAAAUAAAAGUAAAUUAGACUAUGAUCAGUUAGCCAAAGAAUCAAAGCCAGUUCUCCUCUGUGUUAAGGAACAGUAUAGCUUUCGAUAUGAAAGAAAGAAUCAUAAGAUUGAGCAAUUUUUGCCCUCUGCCUCUCAAAAUAAUGAACAGAAAAGAGCCUACACAGAAACAUAAAUCUAACAGAUGAUAACUAACAGGUUAGAUGUAGUAGCUCUUUAUUGAAAUAUCAAAAUUUUACUUAUAAAAUUAUAGCCAUUUGUUUAAGAUAUCAAUAAUUUCUUUUAAAUUAGCAAUUUGACUGCGGAAAGGCGUACCGAUUAAGGACCGGCCGAGGUUAUUUUCUUCCUGAUUUAAUCAAGAGCAGCUCCUUAUUUUCUUUAUAAGAGGGCAAGAAUUCUAUUUAAGUUGUAAGCAUUCAGGUACAGAGUAAAAUUUUCAAAUUGGCAAUUGCCAAUAAACAGUACCACAUGUCUGAUCAGGUCACCACUAUUUUACUUUGUUUAAUAUAAAAUGAAAAAACA
rnacentral:lncRNA from 1 species